rnacentral:rRNA from 1 species
AUGCACGCUGGCGGCGUGCCUAAUCCCUGCAAGUCGCGCGAACAGACGAGGAGCUUGCUCCUCUGACGUUCGCGGCGGACGGGUGAGUAACACGUGGAUAACCUACCUAUAAGACUGGGAUAACUUCGGGAAACCGGAGCUAAUACCGGAUAAUAUAUUGAACCGCAUGGUUCAAUAGUGAAAGACGGUUUUGCUGUCACUUAUAGAUGGAUCCGCGCCGCAUUAGCUAGUUGGUAAGGUAACGGCUUACCAAGGCGACGAUGCGUAGCCGACCUGAGAGGGUGAUCGGCCACACUGGAACUGAGACACGGUCCAGACUCCUACGGGAGGCAGCAGUAGGGAAUCUUCCGCAAUGGGCGAAAGCCUGACGGAGCAACGCCGCGUGAGUGAUGAAGGUCUUCGGAUCGUAAAACUCUGUUAUUAGGGAAGAACAAAUGUGUAAGUAACUAUGCACGUCUUGACGGUACCUAAUCAGAAAGCCACGGCUAACUACGUG